rfam:Brachypodium distachyon strain Bd21 chromosome 2, whole genome shotgun sequence.
GUACUGCUCCCUGCGUCCAAUAAAAGAUGUCUUAAAUUUGUCAAAAUUUGAAUGUAUUUAGACAUUACUUAAUGUAUAGAUGCAUUCGAAUUCGAUCAAAGUUGAGACAUUCCUUAUUGCACGGAAGGAGUACAUU